GACGAACGCUGGCGGCGUGCUUAACACAUGCAAGUCGAACGGAAAGGCCCUGCUUUUGUGGGGUGCUCGAGUGGCGAACGGGUGAGUAACACGUGAGUAACCUGCCCUUGACUUUGGGAUAACUUCAGGAAACUGGGGCUAAUACCGGAUAGGAGCUCCUGCUGCAUGGUGGGGGUUGGAAAGUUUCGGCGGUUGGGGAUGGACUCGCGGCUUAUCAGCUUGUUGGUGGGGUAGUGGCUUACCAAGGCUUUGACGGGUAGCCGGCCUGAGAGGGUGACCGGCCAAAUUGGGACUGAGAUACGGCCCAGACUCCUACGGGAGGCAGCAGUGGGGAAUAUUGAACAAUGGGCGGAAGCCUGAUGCAGCAACGCCGCGUGCGGGAUGACGGCCUUCGGGUUGUAAACCGCUUUCGCCUGUGACGAAGCGUGAGUGACGGUAAUGGGUAAAGAAGCACCGGCUAACUACGUG
rnacentral:rRNA from 1 species